UUUAAUUCGAUGCAACGCGAAGAACCUUACCUGGUCUUGACAUCCACGGAAGUUUUCAGAGAUGAGAAUGUGCCUUCGGGAACCGUGAGACAGGUGCUGCAUGGCUGUCGUCAGCUCGUGUUGUGAAAUGUUGGGUUAAGUCCCGCAACGAGCGCAACCCUUAUCCUUUGUUGCCAGCGGUCCGGCCGGGAACUCAAAGGAGACUGCCAGUGAUAAACUGGAGGAAGGUGGGGAUGACGUCAAGUCGUCAUGGCCCUUACGACCAGGGCUACACACGUGCUACAAUGGCGCAUACAAAGAGAAGCGACCUCGCGAGAGCAAGCGGACCUCAUAAAGUGCGUCGUAGUCCGGAUUGGAGUCUGCAACUCGACUCCAUGAAGUCGGAAUCGCUAGUAAUCGUGGAUCAGAAUGCCA
rnacentral:rRNA from 1 species